rnacentral:rRNA from 1 species
AACGCGAAGAACCUUACCAGGUCUUGACAUGCAUCUGAAGCCUUGGAGAUAGGUUCGUCCUUUUUAAAGAGGUGAAAGUUUGUCAUGGUUUUCGUCAGCUCGUGGCGGGAGAUGUUGGGUUAAAUCCCGCAACGAGCGAACCCUUGUUUUUAGUUGCCAGCAUUGAGUUGGGCACUCUGAAGUGACUGCCGGUGACAAACCGGAGGAAGGUGGGGAUGACGUCAAAUCAUCAUGCCCCUUAUGACCUGGGCUACACACGUGCUACAAUGGCCGGUACAACGGGGAGCGAAAUCGCGAGAUGGAGCGAAUCCUUAGAAGCCGGUCUCAGUUCGGAUUGCAGGUUGCAACUCGCCUGCAUGAUGUCGGAAUUGCUAGUAAUCGCGGAUCAGCAUGCCGCCUGAAUACGUUCCCGGGUCUUGUACACACCG